rnacentral:rRNA from 1 species
AUAAUAAUUAGUUUUUUAAAUGGAGGCUGGUAUGAAUGAUUGAACGAGAUAAAGUCUGUCUCAAAAAAAAUUUAAUUAAAUUUAAUUUUUAAGUUAAAAAGCUUAAAUUUUAUUAAAGGACGAGAAGACCCUAUAGAACUUUAUAAUUUUAAUUAUAUUUUUUUAAAAAUUAAAUUAGUAUAAUAAAAAUUAUUUUAUUGGGGUGAUAGGAAAAUUUAAUUAACUUUUUUAAAAUAAUUUAACAUUAAUAAAUGAAUUUUUGAUCCUAAAAUUUAGAUUAUUAGAUUAAGUUACCUUAGGGAUAACAGCGUUAUUUUUUUUACAAGUUCAUAUUUAUAAAAAAGAUUGC